GGUGAUUAAUGUAUGGGGAUCUGCCUGAUGGCGGGGGAUAACUACUGGAAACGGUAGCUAAUACCGCAUAAUGUCUUCGGACCAAAGCGGGGGACCUCCGGGCCUCGCGCCAUCAGAUGAACCCAUAUGGGAUUAGCUAGUAGGUGAGGUAACGGCUUACCUAGGCGACGAUCCCUAGCUGGUCUGAGAGGAUGAUCAGCCACACUGGGACUGAGACACGGCCCAGACUCCUACGGGAGGCAGCAGUGGGGAAUAUUGCACAAUGGGCGCAAGCCUGAUGCAGCCAUGCCGCGUGUAUGAAGAAGGCCUUCGGGUUGUAAAGUACUUUCAGUCGGGAGGAAGGUGUCAAGGUUAAUAACCUUGUCAAUUGACGUUACCGACA
rnacentral:rRNA from 1 species